AGUGAACGCUGGCGGUAGGCCUAACACAUGCAAGUCGAACGGCAGCACAGUAAGAGUUUGCUCUUACGGGUGGCGGGUGGCGGGCGGGUGAGGAAUACAUCGGAAUCUUCUUUUUCGUGGGGGAUAACGUAGGGAAACUUACGCUAAUACCGCAUACGACCUACGGGUGAAAGCAGGGGAGCUUCGGACCUUUCGCGAUUGUAUGAGCCGGUUUCGGAUUAGCUUGUUGGGGUGGGAACGGCCCACCAAGGCGACGCUCCGUAGCCGGACUGAGAGGAGGGGAGGCCACAGUGGAACUGAGACACGGCCCGGACUCCUACGGGAGGGAGCAGUAGGGUAUCGUGCGCAAUGGGCGAGAGCCUGACGGAGCAAUGCCGCGUGAAAGAAGAAGGUCUUCGGAUCGUAAAGCUCUGUUAUUGGGGAAAAACAAAUGUGUAAGUAAACAUGCACGUAGUGACGGUAACUAAUAAGAAAGCAACGGCUAACUACGUG
rnacentral:rRNA from 1 species